rnacentral:tRNA from 1 species
GGACUCAGUGGCGAAGCAUCUGCUUUGCAUGGAGAAGGUCCCAAGUUCAAUUCCUGGCAGCUCCA